CUUUGCCACUGGGAGAUGCUGCGGCAGCCGUGUGCACUGACAUCUCCAUUUCUACAGCAAAUGUCAUUUACUUCAUCUGCCCCAAGAUGCCUGCAUUCUCGGCCCUCAACCUUCCACCGUCCUUGGGGAGGCCGUUCUCUAAAGCCAAUGGAUUUCCUGCUCGGUGGAGAGAAACUGAGUGUGCUUCGUGACUGGGACUAGGAAUUUCUACUGGCAAAGCCAUCAAAGGGUCCCUCUCUUCCUCCUCCACUGCCAGGGCCCAGGACUCACAGGGAGAGGCCCCAGCAAGUGCUUCUCUCAGCACCUGGUCUCACUGCUCCACCCUCCCCGAGUACUUCUGGCUCCAACAGGAAACGCAUGGCUCUCUGAAAUGUUCUAGUGCUUGACGUGGCUGGUGGUUACAAAGGUGUUCAUUUUUUAGUAUUGCAUUAAGCCAUUUUACUUUCUGUAUGCAUGCCAUUUUUCACAAUAAAACAAGUGGGUGUUUAGAAACUUGUGGC